CACACACACACACACACACAAUGUGCACACAUACACAUAAAAGGAAUGGGGUAGGGGAAAAGAAAUAACUGGUUUGUCACCUUGCUUGUUAAGGUGGACUACAAGGAAGACGGAGAGUUGAAUGUGACACUCAGCAGCAUGGAUGACAUUGGCAGUCUGGACAAAAAUCUGUGCUGUUGCGAGGGCUGGGGCAUCAAAAGAGAGGUACAGUCGAGGGAUGGAGGAGAGAAACAUCAGGGACGUCUUUCUGAAGGACAAAGCAGAGGAGAGCGAAGAAAAGAGGUAGCCUGGGUACCUCAAAAGCCAACUCUUCCCCCAACAUUUGCAUGGCUCAGCCAGCAGAGGAGGGAAAAGUAGCAGAAGGACAUGGGGCAGCCUGUGGGAUGAAUAUCCUCCAAUAGCUGAUGGAGAGGAAGGCUGAUUGUCAAUCAGAGCAGAGAAACUCAUUCCAACUAAGGAAUGGACCCCUCUGUAAGUUUGUAGAUGUGGGGCUCGGAGCUUAAAAGGUCCUUUUCCCACUGCGUCUGAUUUUCUCGGUGAGCAGGAAGCAGGUAGAUUUGGGAACCAGGAAGGGGCUUCUGGGCUGCCCUGAGGAUCCAUCAAGUAGAACGAUCAGGAAGGUAGCUAAGACUCGUGGGCAAGUUACGUGUUUCUGUCAGCAGCUGGGUACAGGUGUGAGGCAGAUGAAUAGUUGGGGCAGCUUGUGUCAGCGUGGAGGGCUGCUGGGGACCAUGGCGUUGAAGCAUGGAAAGGAAAGAAGGGACUGAAAAUCAGUUGUCCUCCCGGCCAGGAUGGGAGACUGACAGAGAGGUCUUAAUAGAAUGUAGCACCGAAGGGUAACUGGAGGGCUAGGAAUGUAGCACAGGUGAGAGUUUGUUUGCUGAGUACUCACAAAGCCCUGGGUUUAAUCCCAGCCCUACAUAAAUCAGGGUGCUGGCACCUAGAAUCCUAGCGCUUGGAAGGCAGAGGUAGAAAGGACAGAAAAUCAGCUACUUAGAGAGUUCAAGGGUAGUCAUGGCUCCAUGAGACCCUAUCUUGGUAAAACAAAACAAGCCCAACAGAAAAGGGCUUGCUGGAGCUGAAGAACAGGGAGCUAAGCCGGUGAGAUUGGAGGCCGGAUCAGUGAGGGGGAAAGUGAUGGGCAGUCCAGAAAAACAUCUGCAACACAGUCCUCAUCAUGGGUCCUUCAGAAUGUCUCAGCAUUAAAGGCCAGUGUCAGACCCGGAGGGAAAGCUCAGCAGCUAUGAGCAGUUGCUCCUCUUCCAGAAGAUCUGAGUUUACCCAGGACCCACCCAUGUCAGGUGGCUCACAGUCAUCUCUAACUCCAGCUUCAGGUGGCUCUGACAGUCUCUUCUGGCUUCUUUGGUAACUGCACUCACAUGAACACACACACACACACACACACACACACACACCCACACACACACACACACACCCCAAAUAAAUUUUAAAGAGAAAAUGCUAGCAUUAAUGACAGAGGGCCGUGACCAUGCUUUGAAAGCACAGGAAAUGGGGUGGUUAAUCCUCACUUCUUCUCAGGCUUUGUAAGUGUGGGGAACUUUUGACUUAACUCCGGAAGUAAGAGCAGAAUUUCAAUAUGUGGUUGUUAGUGACAGGGUAUCCAUUUUCAGAGGAAGUGUUUCUCUCCUGGUGUGUGUGUGUGUGUGUGUGUGUGUGUGUGUGCUGUGAAGUGGAUCUCAGAGCUUAAGAAUGCCAGGCAAGUCUACCAGGGAGUUACACUUCGAGCUUCUCAUAUUCAUUUUGAUACACAGCCCAGGCAGCACCUGAAUUUGCAUUCUUCCUGCCUCAAUCUCCUAAGUGCAGAGGUGACAGGCAUGAACCACUGUGCCUUGGUCGUGAUUGCUUUUGACAGACUCCUGGGAGGUUACCUCUAAGCCUUUGGGAUGGCCUUCCUAAUGCAGGUGGCUUUGUUUACCUGGGACCCUUCCCCAACAUCAGAUAGUAAGUGGGAUUUAUGGUAGAGAAGAGAGCAUGCGGUUACCAGCUCAGCCUAAGGAGGAGCAAAUGAUACAAUCAGCCAUGAGUGUGGAUGAAUAUGAAUGUGGUCAUCACUGACCACAGUGAGUUGUGAGUGAGAUCAGUCAUGAGCAUGGCUAGCCAUGUGGUCAACAGUGAGUAGUCGGAUGUGAACAUGGUCAGCUAUGAGCUUGGUCAGAUUUGAGUUUGGUCAUUGGCAAAUGUGGUCAGCCAUAAGUGUGGUCAGUGGUGGGCAUUGGCAACUACGAGUACAGUCGGUGGUGAUCACUGUCAAUGGUGAUCACUGUCAAUGGUGGUCAUCUGUAAGUGUCUGCUAAUAAUAUCCGAUGAAACCUCCAGAUAGCAAAGCUAGGACUUUUUAAUACCUUUGGUUUUCUCUGGGUAAGACACAAAGGCUGGCAACAGUCUGCGUGCAUUGGCUGUGGCUGUCCGCUUGACUCUGUGGAGAGCUUGACUCUCUUGGACCUGCCACAGCAUCUCUCCCAUCUGCUAUCUUUGCUCUGACCCUCCCACAUCGGUAAACUAUAACCACUAACGUAAAAGUUUGCUGAAUUCUGAGAGUCUUCCUAGUGGCAAACUCCUCCUCAGAGUAGUCUUGAGGAUUGUGGUUAAGGGUGAGGACCAAGGUAUUCUGAGUAAGGUGAAAACUAGAGCAUACUGGGUAAGGAGAGGAUCAGGACAUUCUCUCUAAGAUAAAGACCAGGGCAUUCUGGGUAAGAUGAGCACUGGAGCAUUCUGGGUAAGAUAAGGACAGAGCAUUCUGGGAAAGAUGAGGCCCCUGGCAUUCUAGGGAAACACCUGCUGUGGAAAAACAGAGAAUUGGAAGUGUCAUUUUCACAAGGACAGUAGGAAGAAAGAAAGGAAAAAAAAAUCCCAAACACGUGAAAAGAGGUUGAAGCAGCCUCCAUAACGUCCCAAGUGUAAAUUAAAAGAAGGCAGCGGCAGCGUGUUUUCUCCCCAGCAGACUGGCACACAUCCCAACGCACGGGAACACGCUGUGUUGGAGAAGCUGUGGGAAGCAAGGCCUCGCACGUCGCUGCUGGAAACACAAACCGAUGCAAGCUCCGUAUGGACAGACUUGGCAACAGCCAUCCGCUUACAGAUGUACCUACCUCUGACCCUCCCACCCGCACCUGUAAUCGUGACUGUCAACUUCAUAGGACUUAGAGUCAUCUAGAAGACCCAAACAUAAGGGAAGGCCCAUUCUGAAGGUAAAAUGGAGUCUGAAGUCAAAAUGGCGGUACUCAGCCCAACGUCCUUUUGCCUGCACCCUUCAAUACCUUCCUCACUAUGAUGGACUAUGCCCUCAAACUGUGAGUUAAAAUACACCCUUCCUUCCUUCCUUCCUUCCUUCCUUCCUUCCUUCCUUCCUUCCUUCCUUCCUUCCUUCCUUCCUUCAGUUGCUUUUGUAACAAUUUGUCAUAGCAACAGGUAACAAAGACUUAAAAUUAUCAUUUGUUAUUGUAAGUUAUUUGUGAUUGUAUAGUGGAGUUGGCUAAUUAUAAUUUAUUGUAGUAGCUUAUGAUGAUUAUAGCUCAUGAGUUUGCAGUUCUGCUGUCUGAAUCAGGCUUAGCUGAUAGUGUCCAGUCCUGCUCAGAGAUCUGUCAGCUGCCUGACCUAGGUUGUCCUUAGGUGGAGGAGUCUGUGUCCCCACAAGUAUUCUUGUCCCCCAUCAAGCCAUCCUGGGCUCCUCCACAAUGAAGCACGGGUUCAUUCUGGAACUUGGAGACACUGCUUGUCCUCCUUAGCUUUGAUUGUCAAUUUGACACAGCCAAGAGUCACCUGAGAAGGACUCUCAAUUGAGGGGUUGCCUAGAUCAUAGUGACCCAUGGGCAUGUCUGUGGGGAUUGUCUUGGUUGCUAAUUGAUACAAGAGGACUCAGCCCACUGCGGGUGGCAGCAUUCCCUAGGCAGAGGGUCCUGGGCUGUAUAAGAAAGCUAACUAUGCAAGUGCAUGUGAGUGAGCCAGCAAGCAGCAUUCUCUAUGGUUUUUGCUUCAAUUCCUGCUUGAGUUUCUGCCCUAUUUAUAAGCUGAAAUGUACCCUUUCCUUCCCUUGGUUGCAUUUGGUCUGAGUGUUUUAGUACAAAAAAUAGGACAUUGUUCUCACUACAUCCCAUUCCCCAAGGCAAGUCUAGAGGCCGUAUAGCUUUUCUUACUCCACAUGGCCCAAGUACCAAGAGCAAUGCCCAGGCUGAGAAGGAUACAAGGCUACACUCCUACCUCUGUGGCUUGCCAUUGCAGCUAUACCAUCUUUCUGCCUGGACUCCAUGCUUCAGACUUUGCUGACUGCAGCCCCGAAACCCCAGGUAUGAAAGAGAACAAAGAGACUCACAAAAGAGCACAUCAGUGAACUACUUAGUCACCACUAGUGUUCACCUGUGCCCCUGUGACCCAAGGAAGCUGGGCUUUCGAUUCCAAUACCGCCAUGAAGUUAGCUCUAUGGACUGCAUACCCUACAUGGGAUGGAGGAAGAAAAAAUACCUCAAAAAAUUGUUCAGCCUUCAUGAACAUCGUAGACCUUCUGUGAGAGCUUGCCCCACAUCCUGCAGGAGUGUGUGGGACCAUGGUACUACAGUGUGCUACCACUUGGAGACCAGUGCCUGGAACCAAAGAAGAAUGGCCCAUAGUUUCAGCAGCUUCAACGAGUGUCACUGGCUCCGUUGCUCCUGGGACAUAGUAAGAGAAAGCAUCAUGUAGGCAAUAUGUAGAACAAAGCUGCUUAAUUCAUGACAACCAGGAAUCACAGACACAGGAAUGGGCCAGAGAGGGGGAAAAACCACCCUUUUAACAUAUACUUCAGUAACCUACCUGCGCAUGCUCAUAACUCCUGCAUCACGGUGUUCACAGAAGGAUCAAGCAAAUUCAAAUGUAGGCCGUGCUUCUGGUUCCCCACACUCCACACGACUAAGUAAUAUAUAUGUAGGAAAUGUGCCCUGAACCUCCAGGGUCCUUCACACAAUUUUUAGGCAUCACAAGCUAAAUAGUAACAUCCUAUAUUCCCAUUGUCAAGUGAAUUUAAGAAAACAGUAGUGGUUUGCAUAAGCCUAUGUGCAUGCAGUCUCUUUGCAUAAGCCUUAGAGACUCCUGUGACUACGUGUGUGCAUGGGCCAGCUUGCAUGCACACACUUCAGUGGAUUUCUAUGUUAGAGUAUUUAUUGCAUCUUACUUUAGUCUCCCCAGACACCAGCAACAGCAGGGGCCUCACUGUGUAUGGUAUGAGUGUUUAGAAAUGGUUCAGACACCCCCACUGAAUGCCUACUAAGGCUCGAAUGGGUUAAGUUUGAGCAACAAACACCCUUUGGUCUAGAGAGAGAAUAUCACACAAGAAAAAGAUUGUCAUGUGACACUCUGGAUACUGUGUUGUUUUUCUUCUCCCUAAAGCCCCUGCAAAUCUAGUUACAUGUGAACACACCUUCACACUUAAUUGAUGCCCACCUGUAUCUCUAGAGAAGUGGAAAAUUUUUCUGAAGCCUGCAAGGGAGGGCUCUCUAGGAGUCCUCUUAUUUUUCCACUGGGUCUUUUGCUCUUGUUCUCUGACCUGAAUUCUGGCCAGUUCUGCCUAAAAGAGAUUGCCCAGUCCCUGGGCAUAUGCAGAAGAGGUAGUUGGCUGAUUUAUAACAGCCAGGAUGGUAAAACAUGUUUGCUUAGAGCACUGUGUCCAGUUUCUAUUCUCCAAUUUCAGAAAGCUAAUAAGAAAAUUGAUUUUCUUGCAGGGCAUAGGAAAGACUUAUUUCUUAUAUGCAGCACAGGGAUUAAUAAUUCAUUAAUGAGCUCUAUGUGUCUGUGGGGAGACCCAUUUGACAAUGCUACAGUGACAUUUAGAAGGCUGUCUGACUCUUCCUUAGGCACACAGAUGAUUGGCCUCUUUCCUACCGUCAUCUCUCACUUCCAGAACAAGGUCAGCUGCAUAGAACAGAAAUCUCAGAAUGACAGUCACAAAUGAACGAAAUGAGCUUUGCUCUACUAUCAUGACUUAAUAAUAGUCUUCAGACACCUAAGUCACUUCUCACUCAUGGUCAUAGGAUGACUUCUGAAGCACCUCUGAAGCGAUCACAUGGUCAUUCCAAGCAACAGGGAGAAGGUAGAGAAAGGAACUCCAGCCUCUCUCAAUUGAGUCAGACCUUCCUAGAAGUUCAAAGAGGUCUUACCCUGAUCUGCCCAGAACUUGAUCACCUGCUCACACCUAGCUGCAAGGGAAGCCACCAAAGCAGACCUGAGCAAUUGCCAUCUGUAUUAGUUACUUAUCUCAGUAAUAUGACAAAAUACUUGACAAGAAGCAACUUAAGGUGAAAUGGGCUUGUUUCAGCUCACAGUUUGAGGGGCUACAGUCCAUCAUGGUGGGAAGGCAGGGCUGCAGGAGCAUGAGGCAGCUGGCCACGUGACAUCCAUCAUCAGAAAAAAAAAAAACAGGUGCUGGUGCUCAGCUCCCUUUCUUUCUCCUUUUUAUUCAGUUCAGGACCCCACCCAAUGGGCUGAUGCUGCCCACAUUUAGGGUGGGUAUUCCUUCCUCAAUCCAGACUAGAAACUUCCUCAUAGACAUGCCCAGAUAUUUGUCUCCUUAGUGAUUUUAGAUCCUGUCAAGUUGACAAUCAACAUUAAUUAUUUUAUACUUCUUGUGCCUGAGAAUGAAGGAAGAAGAGAUUUUAGAAAUGCUCUUCACACCUCAAUCUUUGACAACGGUACUUCCCCACCCCCCAUUCAGCAGCUUAUCUUACAAAACCCCAAGGCUCAUUUUCUAUGUUGUGUUCCAUACCUAACUUAACAUGUCCUACCUGCUCUACCUCCAAAUGCAUUCAGAAUCUGUCUGUCUCCUCUGAACUCCACUCCACAAUGCUACACACCCACACUGGCCCUCCACCACUCCCUUCACAGUGGAAGAACGUGAUUCUGCCACUCUCUUGCUUGAUAUGACCCAACAGCUGUCUCUUACACUGGGAGUGAACACCUGAGCUCAGUGCACCCCUGAGUUGAGACUCUAUGACUUCAGUCUGAGCUCAUGUCCUACCUCUGAACCUCAGUGGCAGUUGACUGCCAUUCCUCCCACACCUUAGUCCCUUUCCACCACAGGCUCCUGCAUUCACACUUUCAUCAAUUUGGGCACCAUGGUCACCUGACAUUUGUGAACUACUAUCAUGGUGAUAAUGAACUAAUCUCUGAAACUAUCCUUCUAGAGAGUCCUGUCUCAGUGCAGAUGUCCUUCCUCACAAACACCUCCCAUCACCCAAUAUCUGGAUAUCAGUCUCUUCAUGCCCUUCUCCAGGCACUCCUCAGCUCUGUUCAUCUUCUCUUCCACACUAAACCACCAUUGAAAUUGUCUGAUGUACUUCUUGGCUGCUGAAUAGACUGACUCUGCUCACUAGAACCCAGUCCAACAAAGAGAGCUGCUACCUUUAAAAAAAAUUUAAAAAUUUUAUCCUCUAGUGAGUUUAUGUAUAAUAUAUGCACAUAUAAAUAUACAUACAAUAUUAUAAUAUUCAUCCCUAAAUUUCCACCCCUACUCUCCAUGUUCCUCCCCCAAGAGCACUCCUUCUCAAAUUAAAACAUAUUGUUUUAUAAAUGAAAAAAAUGUUAUUCAAAUUAAAAAAUAAUAAUAAAAAACAUUGUUUUUUGAUAACCUUCUAAGUCCAAUUGGUGUUGCACACACAUAUGUGCAUGUGUGUAUGCCCCACCCCCCACUGGAAAGUGGGAAGCCUGCCGGAGGCUGUACCCUCAAUAAAGAGUGAUUCUCUCUCCCCUGGAAACUACCAACUGCCAAUAGGUCCACCAGUGAAGGGUGGGCCUUGGAGAGCACCUUUACCCCCACCUCCAUCUAUGCCAGCCAGAAUUUUGACUGACUUGAUUCUGGGCAGAUAACCACAGCUGCUAUGGGUUCAUGAAUGCAAUAGCAAUACUAAGUGUAAUACCAGGCUCUAGUGCUAUGCCUGCCUGCCUGCCAUGUGCUGCCACACUCCCCACCCUGAUGAUAAUGGACUAAACCUCUGAAAUUGUAAGCAAGCCCCAAUUAAAUGCUUUUUUAAAGUAAGAGUUGCCAUGGUUCUGGUGUCUCUUCACAGCAAUAGAAAAGUAACUAAGACACCACCAACCAUCCUCUGGGAAGAAGCAAACCGUAAGAAAGACAAACCCAGGAGUCAAGUAGGAGCAAAUUUGUAGAGAGUGGAUCUUGGGAGCAUCUUCCAAGACCCAUGCACCAGCCGCUCAGAGCUGUUGACUUUCUGAUGAUUUUCUGUCCAACCCAAAAGAACCUAGGAAAGAGAGCUGCUCCCGCCAUGAUGAAAUUGUACCAGACAACUUAAUGAAAACUCCUCAGCUCCUGCUGAGACAUUAAACAGUUGAUUUCCACACGGAAGCCCCCAUCAGCUGUGACAAACGCAUUAUAAACUAUUUCUUUCUCUCUUUUUUUCAUGGAAAUGUGAAGAAUGACAAAGAUUAGCCAAAAGAUUUUCUCCCAAAUACAGCCUUGUCUUCGGGCUUCACCACUCACCAGCGGAGACGCAGCAAUGGGUGGAGAGACAAGAAUGUGCAAGAUGGAUUACACUCUCACUUCCAAUUAUAAUGAGCUAUUAAUUACACAGCUUGGCAUUAGCUUGGAUUAUAAACCACUCGUACAGAAAGAGAGCUAUUUUUCUCUUUCCAGCUGAGUACCCCACGAUCACCUUCCAGCAAGAGAGAUGAAGCCUCCGCUUAGAGAGUUUUACAUCCCGAUGGUUAACAUUGCAAGGGAAGAAAAAAAGCAACAUUAGCUCCCAGAGAUUGAAAAUCACCUGUAUGUGGCUAGUAACUCCUGGGCUGCCCAACAAGACUUUACAUCUCUGUGGUUGACCUCGGAUUGAAGCUGGCACCUCAGAUGUCUGCAGUUAACCUGUUGAACAUGCUUGCUACCAACUGUCAGGAUUCCACGGCACACUUCCUGUGCUGAUCAGCUAUGGAGACACUGAUUUCAGCUGGGCUAAGAAUGGCCCACACCACGUUUGAGUGGGACUUGGCUCUAUAUUUCCUUCUUAACACCCUCAAGACUAAAGCCAUGUGCUCAUCUGGCAUGAAAUGAGUGGGUCGAUAAUCUCAGGCUACUGUAUCUGAGGUGUGCUCAGCUUUUAGACUCAACUCCUGCACUGUCACCAUUUUAUUAGUAUGUUCUAGAAAACCAAAGUCGGGCUUUAGCCAGAAGCUACUGAGAUUUUAUUGCUGUUCUUGUAAUUGUUAUUAUUUGAGACAGGGUCUCACAUAGCUCAGGCUGGCCUGGAACUCACUAUGUAGCCAAGAUUAAUCUUACACAAAUGAUCCUCCUGCCUCUACUUCCUCAGGGUUACAGUCAUGUGCCACAAUGUCCGAUUUUAUGUGGUAUUGGGGAAUCUGUAAAAAAAUAAAAUCUAAAGGUUCAUUUAAAAUUAAAUGUACCUUGAGUCAUCUUAGUCUAGCUACAGACAAACAGAAAAUACAGAGAUCCUGGGAAGCCAGCUAACCCACCCCAACCUCAGUUAGUCUACCCUCCCACCCCCACACACUCCCACACACACACAAACUAAAAGCAAAAGACCAGGAAGACAAAAAAAAAAAAGGCCCAAAUAAAGCAACAUGAGACAAAAAGUCUACCAAAGUAUCAUUGAGUCCACUAUGUUUCAGCCGUCUAGUGCCGGGCAUGUGGCCUGCCUUUAAGUGUGAUUUAUAUACUCAGUGAGACUCCAUUGGAGAAAACUUUUUCCUUUGCAAGUGAGUGUCAAUUGGAGAGAGCUUCUUGGUUAGGGUUGGGGACUUCCGUCCACUUCCCCUCCCAGCACUGGAAUGCCUGUUAAGUUUUAAAAUAAACAGGAUGUAAAAGAGAGGCGGACUCACACAGAGCUUUUGUUGAUGGGAGGAAAAAGAUAAAUGAGCAAGAGAGGGGAAGAGAGAGACUCAGUUGAUGCUGGGUUGCACUACCCUUGUUACUCAGAUAAUGAGGAUGGAGAGGAAGCAGGCUGCCUUAGGGUUACAAAGUCUGUUCUCUGCCUCAGUCUACCCCAGAGCUCAUGCAGACUUUGUAAAGAUGUAAAAUAAAUUGCCUUUCUUUCAAGUCUCCAGGGCUCUUAUGAUGCAAUGAGGGCCUGGACUUCUGCUUGGAUCAAACCCAUGUGCAUACCAGGCAAGCACUCUAUGAAAUGAGCUGCAUCCUAGCCCCACCCAUGAAAUUCUCAAAGGAAACUCAGUUUUAACUUCCCGUGAAGAUCUCAAGGCCUCUGGGAAGAGACUGUCUCCAGUGAGGCACCUCCAAAGCAGGAACGGCAAAGUCUGAGGUGCCGAUCGAUAGGAUGCGCUGGCAGAGAACUUGGACGAUAAAUGAUCAUCUGAUGGAGAAAAGUGCACAUUGCGGAAGAUGUGACGCUGGCAAUGUGGGGCUCCGGCAGUGAUGUCAUCACCAGGCCAAGGAGAGGCAUGCAUUCCAGAGCAUCCCACUUUGUAAACAAUGACACCUGACCUCUGCACACCUCUCCCGAGGUGGGUUUGAACUCUGGGCUCAGAGGAACCUCCCUCUCCUUGUACCCAGAGAGGUUAAGACCCCAGCUCAAGCCAGGGGUUAAGGAAAUGGGUACAUCACUCAGCCGGCCUCCGGACGCUAGGAGCUCUGUGGAAUUGCUGCUGCCUCGGGCUGGAGCCUUCAUGAAAGUGACUGUGCUGGAUCUGAGAAAAGCAAAAGGCCCAGGAUGUGCCUUCAGAGUUGGAGCAGGGACAACACGGGUGCUGAGUCCUCCUCAGUUCCCUCCAGAACCUGACACUUUCUUUGCAUGUGUGGCUCUCG